ensembl:lncRNA
CUUUCCAUCGCGCUCUUUCUUUCUCUCGCGCCUCUGCUUUCUGAAAUGUUCAGGCCUCAGUGGGCAAAUUAUACACUUUGUGGUGCUCUGAAAGAACAGCUGCGGAACGGAUCUGCUGAGGAAAGGCCAGCCUAUCUGCUCCAAUGGAAGUGGAUAUCAUGACACCUACACCACCCGAUGCUACAGGAAGGCCAUAAAGAUCAUCAAGGACAUCAACCACCCGAGCCACUGCCUGUUCACCCCGCUGUCAUCCAGAAGGCGAGGUCAGUACAGGUGCAUCAAAGCUGGGACCGAGAGACUGAAAAACAGCUUCUAUCUCAAGGCCAUCAGACUGUUAAACAGCCACCACUAACAUUGAGUGGCUACUGCCAACACACUGUCAAUGACACUGACUCUACUCCAGCCACUUUAAUCAUGGGAAUUGAUGGGAAAUGAUGUAAAUAUAUCACUAGCCACUUUAAACAAUGCUACCGUAUAUAAUGUUACUUACCCUACAUUAUUCAUCUCAUAUGCAUACGUAGAUACUGUACUCUAUAUCAUCG